rfam:Tupaia chinensis contig8997, whole genome shotgun sequence.
GAAAAUUCAACAGCACAUAUACUAAAAUUGGAAUGAUACAGAGUAGAUUAGCAUGGCCCCUGUGCAAGGAUGACACACAAAUUCGUGAAGUGUUCCAAACUUAA